CCCCGCCCCUGCCCGGGGGGAGCAGAGGCGCUGACCUUUCCCCCAGGUUUUCCUAGAACGCCGCUGCCCUAGGGAUUCUGCAGGGAGUUGCAAGACAGAACGCAGCGGCCAGAGCGAAUUUCCCGUGGAAAGCUUGAGAGGAGAGAAUUCUGGGGGUCCUUUCACGUGUAACUUACAAUGAUGCUGUUGUCUCCGAGCUUCUAAUUGAAAAUAACUGUGCCAGCUACUAGAUUCUUGGGCAACCGGAAGACUUCUCCGGCACAGGCUUUACCUGUGGAAGGACGGCCAUUUCCAGGAGAUGGUGUCUUUCUGGUUACUUCUGCUUGCGUGCCACUGUGCGAUUGCCCAGGGACCAGCUUGGGAGAGAACAACAAUGAAAAGUUAGUGGGCUUUCUCUUAUUUUAUCUGCCCUAUAAAUGCUCCCUGUCCCACAUCUUGCACAGAGAGAUUCUUCUGAGGUUCUUUCUGGCCACAUACAGACUCUAAGUAGCAUGUGGUCUUUGAUUCCAGG
rnacentral:lncRNA from 1 species